CUUUAUUCUGUAGUCCUGGCUGGUCUGGAGCUCACUCUGUAGUCCAGGAUGGCCUUGAACAUAAGGCAAUCUUCCUGUCUCAGACUUUCAAGAGCUUGUACUGCAGCCAAAAGUUGCAGUCAUAAGUUCCCGAAACAGGGGAGCUACACAGCAGGAGGAUUGCUUCAAGGGCAGCUUGGACUACACAGCUUGAACCUGUCUCAACAUCUCCUAGAAGCCUCCCCACCUCCAGUUCCCCCCUAUAGUCUUGUCUUUCUAUCCUGCUUCAAGGUAAGGGAGACUUAGUUGGUGGAGACCAUUAGAAGAAUCCUGUAAGUUAGAAAACGUUGUAGUUACAGUCCCAUGCCAAAUUCUAACUUGAGGUAAGAUAAUGGAUGGAAAAUAUAAUAAUAAAAAAAGUGUGUGUGCUCAUAUAACCACAUAUACACAAGAGGAGUGUUUCAUAUGCUUAUAUUUGCACGUUAGUGAGGCAAUGUGUUGAUGCUAAUUGUGGUAGUUUGAGUGAAAAUGGCUUAUAUAGGCUCAUAGGAAUGGCACUGUUAGGAGGUGUGGCCUUGUUGGAGUAGGUGUGGCAUCAUUGAAGGAAAUGUGCUGCUGGGGGUGGGCUUCAAGGUCUCAGAGGCUCAAGCCAGGCCUAGAGGAUCCCUCUCUCUUCAUGCAGCCUACUGAUCCUGAUAUAGAACUCUCAGCUCCCUCUCUAGUGUCACAUCUGCCUGCCUGCCACCAUGCUUCCUGCCAUGGUGACAAUGGACUAAUAACCCUCUGAACUGUAAGGCAGCCCGAAUUAAAUGUUUUCCUUUGUAAGAGUUGCUGUGGCCAUGGUGUCUCUCCACAGCAAAAAAAAACCCUAACUAAGACAUUGAUGCUCUAAUAUAUAGGCUCUCUAGGCUGUGGUCUUCACUGAGUUAGGACAGUCUGGACGGCGUGGAAUGCGUAUGUUGUGAGCAC
rnacentral:lncRNA from 1 species